CGGUGAGCGGGUGCUUGCACUCGUGGAUCAGUGGCGAACGGGUGAGUAACACGUGAGUAACCUGCCCAUCACUCUGGGAUAAGCGCUGGAAACGGCGUCUAAUACUGGAUACGACCAACCCUUGCAUGGGGUGUUGGUGGAAAGAUUUAUCGGUGAUGGAUGGACUCGCGGCCUAUCAGCUUGUUGGUGGGGUAAUGGCCUACCAAGGCGACGACGGGUAGCCGGCCUGAGAGGGCGACCGGCCACACUGGGACUGAGACACGGCCCAGACUCCUACGGGAGGCAGCAGUGGGGAAUAUUGCACAAUGGGCGAAAGCCUGAUGCAGCGACGCCGCGUGAGGGAUGACGGCCUUCGGGUUGUAAACCUCUUUCAGCAGGGAAGAAGCUUUUGUGACGGUACCUGCAGAAGAAGCACCGGCUAACUACGUGCCAGCAGCCGCGGUAAUACGUAGGGUGCGAGCGUUGUCCGGAAUUAUUGGGCGUAAAGAGCUUGUAUGCGGUUUGUCGCGUCUGCUGUGAAAAUCUAGGGCUUAACCCUGGACGUGCAGUGGGUACGGGCAGACUAGAGUAUGGUAGGGGAGACUGGAAUUCCUGGUGUAGCGGUGGAAUGCGCAGAUAUCAGGAGGAACACCGAUGGCGAAGGCAGGUCUCUGGGUCAUUACUGACGCUGAGAAGCGAAAGCAUGGGGAGCGAACAGGAUUAGAUACCCUGGUAGUCCAUGCCGUAAACGUUGGGCGCUAGGCGUGGGUCUCAUUCCACGAGAUCCGUGUCGCAGCUAACGCAUUAAGCGCCCCGCCUGGGGAGUACGGCCGCAAGGGCUAAAACUCAAAGGAAUUGACGGGGGCCCGCACAAGCGGCGGAGCAUGCUGAUUAAUUCGAUGCAACGCGAAGAACCUUACCAAGGCUUGACAUGCACCGGAUCGCCUCAGAGAUGGGGUUUCCCUUUGGGCUGGUGCACAGGUGGUGCAUGGUUGUCGUCAGCUCGUGUCGUGAGAUGUUGGGUUAAGUCCCGCAACGAGCGCAACCCUCGUUCUAUGUUGCCAGCACGUUAUGGUGGGGACUCAUAGGAGACUGCCGGGGUCAACUCGGAGGAAGGUGGGGAUGACGUCAAAUCAUCAUGCCCCUUAUGUCUUGGGCUUCAAGCAUGCUACAAUGGCCGGUACAGAGGGCUGCGAUACCGUAAGGUGGAGCGAAUCCCAAAAAACCGGUCUCAGUUCGGAUUGGGGUCUGCAACUCGACCCCAUGAAGUCGGAGUCGCUAGUAAUCGCAGAUCAGCAACGCUGCGGUGAAUACGUUCCCGGGCCUUGUACACACCGCCCGUCAAAUCACGAAAGUCGGUAACACCCGAAGCCGGUGGCCUAACCCUGGGGAGGAGCC
rnacentral:rRNA from 1 species